UGGUUAACGAAAAACAUAUAAAUAUGAUGUCUAUAACAAUAUAUUCAUACCACAAAUAAACAUACACACAGGUUUGUGAAUUUCAGUUUACAGGUGAUACGACACACGUGUUUUAUUUGCGACUCUCGAAUUUGAAUUAAGUUUCUGCAAAGGAUAAGAAAAGCUUAAAUUACGUUAAUGCAAAUGCACAUACGUUUCCAAAUAACAAAUAGCUUUUUAACGCCGUUGACAUUAUUUUCAAUUUUAACUUUUUAUGAAUUUAUUGUGAUAGUGUGUUAUAGAAUGAAUAUAUUUGUCACUGUUCACAUCGACAUAUAAAUUGAAUGGAUUUUCAUUAUUUCAAUUCUUUGUACGGCAAUUUUUGUGAAACAUAAUCAUUUAUAUGUGUUUUAUUUUUCUCCAGAUCUGUGAUCAUGUUCGUAAAGGCAGUCUUCAGUGUAUUUAUUUUUUUAUUCGUUCUCGUAGCAGGUAAGUUCUUUAUAGAGUUGAAAUAUCAAGGAUUUUACAUGACUCCUCGUCUGUCCCAGCAAAAAUCAAACCUUCUUUGUCUAAAUAACAUUUCAAAAAACCUAUUACCUCCUGUUGAUUGUUGAUGUCGUGCUAUUCAGAGAUAAUCAAGUUAUAGACAGACGCAUUUCCGCAUGUUAGCUUAAUACCUCCUCUAAGAAUUAAAGGUCUCCGAUAUGUAUAAGCUGACUACACUUCACGAAUCCAUCAACUUUUGUAUCCUUUCAACUAAUAUUUUUCACGUUCUCUAACUACAGUAACAUAACGUAUUAUUAAUUAAAAAAGCCAUCUGGAAAUGGUUGAAUAAAAUAUUUUUAAAGAAACGUAUAUGUACAACCAGAGUAUCACAUUCUUUGAUCAAAAAGUAAACUAACAAAUAUACCGAACUCCAAGGACAUUCAAAGUCCUUUAACCAAGUUAAGGUGGUACCUAACACUACAGGGAGAUAACUCUGUAAAGUCAGCGAAACGUUUUAAUAACGUUGCGUUGUAAAGGAAAUAUUAAGCUUCUCAGUGAUCUAAAUUGGUGUUUGUCAAACUGCUAUAUAACCAGUGUAAUUUUUCUGAUAAAAUGGUUGGUUCAAAAUUUUUGAAAUUUUUAUAUUUUUGUAAAAGGGUUAGAAUAAAUACUUAGCCAAAAUUUUAUGAAAAUUAAACGAGCCAAAUUAAUUUUAGUGAAAGUGUUGCGUACCACCUCAAUAGCAAAAUCCAAAGCCCAAACACAUCAAACAAAUGGAAAACAACUGUCAUAUUCCUAUAUGGUAUAUGCAUUUCCUUAUCUUAAAAAUGGGAUUUUAAGCUAUGUUAUUUACAAAGCUCAAUAUUUUAAAGACGGUCCAUGUAAACUUAUCGACAAUUUGUAAAUUUGUUAAAAAAAAAACCAACACGUUUUAAUCUGAAUUCUGUAGAAAAUCUUUUUCCCUACGAUAUGUCUUAUCAUCAGAGAGAACAUCACUUAUUUAUUUGUUAUAACUGCCAUUAAUCUAGCUCUCAGUAGCUGUGAGUACUCUUUGUACGACAUUUUGUGCUUUAUGUCUUGUUGUUAGAUGUGUUCGUGUUACGUUCCUAUCAAAGUAGUUUUACUGAAAUAUUUGGUUUUAAAUCCUAUAUUUGAAUUGACCUUUCAAUGUUUUUACUUUUUAUGCCACUGAUGAGUCUGAGGAAGACUUUUUCCCUUGAUGUGAUUAUGUUUCGUUCUUUUAACUAUAUAAGCCCUAACUUCUUUCGUUUGAAUUGUUCAACGUAUUUUUUUGAUGGGUACUUUUUGGCUUUCUGCAUUGAUUUAGGCAUACUCAUUUUUGAAGGACGUGUGAUGGCCCUAGCUAGUAUUUAGUUUCUUCCAUCCUCGUUAUCUACUUGAUAGUCAUCUCAUUGCCCGGUCUCCUAAUUGUUCUCUAACUAAACUCUUAUUCCGGAAAUGUUCCUGAUUCUGCUUUUUUAAAGAAUUUAUUUGAUAGGCAUUUGCUGUCACUUGGGUAUUCUGUUAAAACUUAGGAGAAGAUUCAUGAAAUAAUAAGUAAUGAAAUGAUGAGGCAAAAACAGUACAUUUGAGUUGUUUCACAGGUAUCUAAAUAUACUAACAAUUCUGUUUUCAGUAAAUGCAUUGUGUAGCCAUCCAUGUUCUCGAGUCAACAGAGGCGAAUUUGUCGAUGAAACAAAUACAUACACAUUUUCAUGUACCAAUACAUCAAUUUUAUCAGUUAAUAAUGGAGAAGAAUUAAGAGAAUGUUAUGCAAGACUUGGAGCCUUUCUUGUAGUCAGGUAAGAAAAUGUGCACAUGCAAUUGAAACUUGAAAUGGAGAAUGUGUCAAAGAGACAAACACCCGACUAAAGAGCAGACAACAGCCGAAGGCCACCAAUGGGUUUAAAAUGCAACAAGAAACUACCGCACUCGGAGGCAUGCUUCAGUUGGCCCCUAAACAAAAAUAUGUACUAGUUCAGUAAUACUGGACGUCAUACUAAACUCCGAAAUAUACACAAUAAACAAAAUUAAUAAUCAUACAAGACUAAAAAAGGCCACGGGCUCCGGAUUUAUGACAAGAGCAAAAUAACAGUGUAAUACUUCUAGUACUCUUUCCCAUUUUAUUGUGCUCAAGUUAGGGACAUACUAAUUCCUGUCAAAAAAUGUAUUUACAGGUUAGCUAAGACCCACCGCCGGGUUCGGGAUUUUCUCGCUGCAUUUAAGACCAAUUGGUUGCCAUCGGCUGUUAUCUGGUCUUUGGUCGGGUUGUUUCUAUGAUUAAUUCCUCACUUCCGUUCUCAAUUUUAUUGUUGCUAACGACAACAUGAGUAAAAUAAAUUUCCGGUUAUUUUUUUUUUUUUUCAUGCCAUAUUUUAUUUCCUGAAUUUUUUAACAGAGAGGGGAUGUUCUAUAUUGAUAAAAUUUACCUGAAAGAUAUCAAUAGUUAACCUGUUUUUUCGUAUUAUUUGCUUUUUUUUUUUUACUUUUUAACUUGUUUGGCAAAUUGGUUCAUAGAGUCAUCUAUGAAUUGAUUUACAUAUUAACAUCACACUGAUAUUAAAAUAAUGCUCUACAAAUUCUUAUUGUCCGCUUUUUUGUAUACUAUUUAAUUGGAUAAUUUAUUUUUCAGGAAUGGUAAUAGAUACAGAUGUGUAAAACACACCCUCUAUGACCGUACUGCCCGAAUAAUAUUUGUGUAUGUUACACCUUACAGUAAGUCAUUGUUAUCAAUAAAAAUAUAUACAAGAUCAAUUAAGAAGUCAAGAAACACGGUAAAAAAAUAGUAUUUAGCAAUCGCGUACUGUGAAUUCGAAACUUAUUGCGAACAUUUAUUUUUAGAAUGAAAUGCAAUUUUAAUUUUUGCGACAUUGACACAAAAAUUCCUGUUUGAUUUGCAUAUAAAUACAUUCAAAAUGUAAAUUUAAAUUAUUGCGACUAUAACAUGUAUAACCAAGUCACAUUUUACGAAAUACUUAAAACAUUGAAAUAAUUGCAAUAAACUCUAAAUAGAACAACAACAGUUUGUUUGACAGAUUUAGCUUCUACAGUUAUGCAUGUAUCAUCAGCCAACCAACAUUCGCCAUCUUAGAUUUCAUAAACAGACGACAAAUGUUUGUUACCAGAAGUAAAACAUGUCGUCAGUGAUACAUCUCGUGAUGGUUUCUGUUAAUCACUACCGAAAUUAGGAAUAAUAUCAAUAGAACAAUUAUAAUAUGUAUCGGCUUAAGAAGUCAUGCUUUCGUACCUCUAUUUGGAGGUGUGUAAUAUGAUUGCAGAAGAGGCAACUCUCCGCCAACAUUACACACAAAAAGAAGACGUGGCAUGAAUGCUCAUAGAUAGAAAAUAAACUGACAUCGAUAUGAAGAAAAAAGAAGAAUGAUAAUAAAAUGAUUGUAAUAAAUGUAGUACACCUGCAAACAUAACAUACAAAAAUAAAGACUAAGAAAAAGCUGGGGGUGAUCUCAGUUGCUCCGGAAGGGGAACCAGUCGUGUUGCUCAUGUCAUUACAAACGCGGAAAAAUAGUCUUAUUCAGUAGGUCACAUUCGUGAAAAGGGAAUGGAAGUGUAAUUACACCAUAAGGAACAUAUUCAAUAGCAUCUGUGAGAAAGAUAAUCCAUAAUGGCCAACCAACUCGUGGUGGCGUCUGUGUAAUUAACACUUGAUUUUAACUUUAAAAUUUGGAACUCUUAGUUUAAUAGCUAUGUUAUUGUUAUGGAUUGAUGUAUGAUGGAAAACAAAUUAACUCUUAAACUUUUACUUACAGGAACAUUUUUAAGAGAACCAUCUAUUUGUGAUGUUUGUUCAGGAACAUUUACAUCAGCUUUAUUUGUCGGUAUGUAUUUUUGUAACAUUGAAUACGCGUGUAUGAUGGCUGAAUAAAAAAUUACAACCGUCAUCUGUUUUUUUUUAUUAUUUCAUCAGCAUCGAUAGAGGUCUAAAUUGACAUUUGCAUAGUUCUGUCAUUUUAUCUAAAAAAAAUCAUUAGGAAGGGUAACUAAAAUUUAUCAUUUAACGGAAGAUCUUACAGUAUUUUGCCUUCUUGGUAUCAAAAAUGACUGUCACUCGAGUUCUACGGAAGCAAGAAAUUAUUAAACUUAUUGUUUUUACUUUUUUCUAUUUAUUGUAUUUUCUAGAUGAGACCAGUGUGUCUUGUAUUGGGCUAUUGUAAAUUUGAUUAUUAUUUAAGGAAUUACUGUAAUAUUUUUUCUGUCUAUGAAGAAAUAACAUAAAAAAUUUGGUGCACACUGAAUAACGUGCGUAGCGGGUUAUUUAACAGUGUGCACCACAUUUUUUAUGUUAUUUCGAAUAGACAGAAAAAAUAUUACAGUCAGUUCUUAUAAUUUAAUUCUAAACUCUAUUUUAAACCGUAUAAAACCAUGAAAAAACGUUGAUGACGUCACGGUCACAUGACUAAAUUAUGUCUAUGGGCUCAUAACAAAAUAACGUCAGCCAAUCAGAAGACGCGUUACAUCCAAAAUUAAAUUAUACGGAUAUGUACUCCAUUUAAGGAUGUACGUAGGUGAGGUUUUGGGAAUGGUGUCAAAUGUUUGGACUCCUUGGUGUUUUCCAUACAAUACAAUGUAAAAUAUUUUGCCCCAUAACACCCAUUCUAUUUUUUCAUAUAAGACUUAAUAGCUCAUGAAAAGUCAUUUAUAAACAUUUUAGAAGAUUCUUGAUUUUCUUUCUUUUGUUUUGCGACCCAAUAAUAUCAAUGCAAAUAUAAGGUAAAAGUCCGAGUCAGCCUUUUCCCGCCAUAUUUUAAAUCUCAAUUAUCUCGAAAAGGAGGUCCAUGACCUAUCAAUAUUUUUAGCUUAUCUUUAUCCUUAAUUGAUGCUCUACCAGCUUAUAGUAUCAAUUUUAAUUUCUUAAUUUCUUAAUUUUUACCUAACCUCACCUAAGUGCAUCCUUAAACCAUAUGAUACCAUAUGAUACGUCAGUAAUAGUAAUUAUUGAUGUUAUUAAUAUUGUUAGACUUCAUUUGUCUAAUUGCAAUUUCAGAGACUUGUACCUGGGAGUGAAAAAAUAUGCAUACGCUAACAUCAUCUGGUUAUUCAAAAAUAGAAUUGAAAUAGCGUUGUUUUGCAAUACUAAAUAAAAUAUAGCCUAAUACGUUAAGGAUUUUAAGUCAACUAAUUAACGCAAAAUAAACUAGCAAUAUUAAAGAUUCUACAAUCUAAAAUAAGCAUGCAUAUUUAUAUUCAUAUUUGAAUCGUAAUAUUCUCUUCUUAUCUUUUUACAGCUAAAGGACAAGAUUGUAAGUAUACAUGUGUUGUUUUUAUUUUGAUAUUGUGUAAAGAAAUAUGUAGGAAAACAUAACAAGUCAUCAACAAUGAAAUUCAUCAGUUAUUUAGAUAUACCUUUUGACAUUUUUAGUGGAUCUUGUCAUAAAAUAUUUAUUUUCUAAUAAUCUUUGACCUUAUGUUAAUUUAUCAUCUCAAAACAUGAGAUCUAUAACCAGCUAUGUGAAGGGGUUCCAACAUAAAGUUUAAGUUUUUUCUCAAUUUCACAUUCCUUUCAGUUACUGUUCACCUAAUGUGCAACGUUGCAGUUUUAUCAUUUAAUUCCAUAGAGUGAUAUUAGAUGGUUAAAGUUAUGAGCUAACUUUAUCAUAAUACAAGCAUAGAUUGCUUUUAUAUCAAUAUUUAUGCGUUAGGAUUAUUUGGACAAAAUCAUUACCCUUUCUGGUAGCUAGAGAACGCAGCUCUACAAAACAAAACGGAAUACUAUCAGGUCGUGCCAUGGAUUUGUUAUUGUUUUAACGACUUAUACAUAUACCAGCAUAUAUAGCAGCUAUAAUACAACACGUCAAAAAAGAUACGCAUAUAACUUGUGUAAUGUUAAUCACUAACAAUUAACAAACCCAAUAAUUAUUUCUCUAGCAGUUGAAACACUAAAAGUUUAAUUAAAAAGAGACAAGGCGUAGGAUAAUAAUAGACAGAUAGAUAUGUUUUUGCUUUUUUAUGAUAAAAAAUAAAUUCUACUGUGUCAAAACCUAUAUAUUAACAUUACUUAAAAAUUGACCUAGAAUUUGUGAAUAGAUUUUUUUCAUUUUAUGUAUAAACCUAAAACGAUGACAAAAAUCUAAUGUUUUUGUAAUAGAAUGCUUUAUGCGUUCAUUGUCAAUAAUGAUCUUACGACAAACAUAUUUAUAAAAAGUUUUAAGAUACAAGUGCCCUGCGAAAGGUAUGCAAAAGUGAUAUUUGAAUUUAUUAGUAAAAGCAAACUGAUAAUGCCAUGGAAAAAAACAAGAACAACAAAACGACAAAUCCAUUCAUACAAUACAAUUUUAAAAUCAAUGACGUAGCAAAACGAAAUCCAGCUAACCUCUUUAUUUACGGUGCUUCUGACGGUUAAGCUGUACUUGCUCGACAUUUGACAUCCGUCGAGGUACUCCUAUAAGAUAUGACGAUAAGUUGAAACAAGUGAAAAAGCAUCACACAAUUGUAGAUUAGUAAUCGACGGGUGCAACAUACGAAGCAGGAUCGGUUUACCCUUCCUGAGCACCUGCGAUAACCCCCAUAUUUUGGUAGGGUCGUGUUGCUUAGUCUCAAGUUUUUUAUGUUGUGUCUUGUGUACUAUUAUUUGCCUGUUUUUCUUUUUCUUUUUAAAUCUUUCAGUUUGAAUGUCCCUCUGGUAUCUUUCGCCCCCCUUUUUUAUCUUAUUAAAAUUUGUAAACCAUCGGUCGUGUAAACUUUUUGUGAAGCUUGAACGAAGGUAAAUUAUUAAAAUAACAUGAAUAUCAAUUAAUUUGACCUGACAAAAAUCGUUAUGAUUGUUGGAAAAAUCAGACCACAAUUGCCAUAUCCUUUUCUUUAAUUCCCUUUCAUAUAAAUUUACUUGUAAGUUUAUACGUAGAUACCUGUAAUACAAAACGUUUGCUUGAGGCUUGUUUAUGACCAUGUACUAACAUAAUCAUUAUAAUAAUAUGUUUGUUACUUAACAUGAACUUUUAUUUUUUUCACAGAUCAAGCUGCGAAAUUACGUAAGUAAAUUUUAAUUGAUGGAACAAAAUUUACAUAUUUCAUAUUACGUAACUUGUCUAGUUAAACAAUGACAAAUUAAAAGUUUACAGGGAGUAAAUCAAUAUGACUUAAUUUCCUUAUGAUAUAUUUCGUUUAAUUGAAAAUGAAGACGUGGUAGGGUUUUCAAGUAACCAACUAUCAACCGAAAAAUGGACACGAUGUUAGUCGCAAAAUUUCAUCUAUUUUAUUAAAUGUUUCUCGGACGUUCUGGUGUGGAUGCUUGAGAGACUAUUUUAUACAUUAUUUAUUUAUGUGAUAUUCCCCUUUGGUGUGAAGGGUGGGUAAAGUUUUAAAGUAUAGAAAUAUGUUAGACGUAAUACAAAUAAAGGAUAUCACUUAUUGGAAUCUACAUAUGAUAUAUAAAUGUCACAUUGUACGAACAUAAGUAAAACAAAUAUUAGAAACAGUAAUCAUUUUGAUAUCUGUCAAUCAAAAUUAGAAUGAAAAGAGAGUAUUACAAAAAUACCGAACCCCUAGGUAAACUACAAAAUGGUAGGUCAAUACCAAAAAAUAACAAAAUUAAACGAUAAAACUCAGAAAAACGAUUAAAACCACGUGAUAUUAAUGAUUUAUGAUUUAAAGCAGUGGGAUAUAGACUAACGUUUUCAGCAUUUACAAUGUAAAUGGUCAUAUGUAAAAUGUUUUUUUUAAAUUGGUAAUAUUUCUAAAACUACAAAGGAUGUAGGCUUGAGGAUUUGCAAAUGAUUAGGAUCUCACUUAAUGAAAGUAACAGUUGUUUUCUUUUUCCUCACGUUCAAGACAACAAAUAUAUCAAUUUUCAGAAAGCCAUCAUCAAUAGGAAUGAAAUCUUUGCAUGACUUUAUUGAAAUAUUCAUAUGUUAGAUGUACAAAUGAUAAUGAUAAUUUAUGGAAACUUUAAAUAUUUUCAUUUUGGCGGUUAUAUAAUUACCGUUGAUGUCAUUUAUUCAACUCUGAAUAGUGAUUUAUUAGUAUGUUUUUUUUUUAUUUUUUUAUUAUAUAUGUUUACACAAUUGUUGCUGUUAAAUACCCUUUUAGCCGUAUUUGGCACACAUUUUGGAAUUUUGGGUCUUUAAUGCUCUUCAACUUUGUACUUGUUUGCCGUUAUAACGAAUUAAAUCUGAGUGUCACUGAUGGGUAUAUUUAGACGAAACGCGCGUCUGGCGUAUUAAAUUAUAAUACUGGUACCUUUGAUAAUUUUUUGGUCACAUCUACCAAUUGUGUUUGGGUUGCUAAUUUUAUUUUGUCAAUACAACAGAACUAUGCGAUACAACUGGUACAUACUCUUGAAAUUAAACAGUACAUUUGCAGUCGAUCGGUUGAGUAAUUAGAUUGUAAUUGUCGGCAUUUUUUCAAAUUUAUCUUUUGAGUUCGGUAUUUUGUUACGAUCACUAGACAUGCUGAAUAAAACAGAGAUGAUAGUAAUUUUCAGAUUUUUUUAAGUCAUAUGAAAUCUCAAAUUUAAAGAAAAUGAUGCAUAUGUUUUUUUUUAUAACUAAAUGGAUAAUUUUCAUUGUAAAACUUAUGUAAAUAUACUUUUUUGGGAAGAAAAUCCUUUAAUUAAGAAGUUUACUUUUUUUAAUUGCUUGCUUCCAGAAAGCAAUUCGCCGACAUAUUUUCCGUAUGCAAAGUUACCUUAGCACGACCCUACUUAAAAACACCUGGGGGUCACAUUACGCAUAGAUCUGUCAUAAAAAAAACCUAUUAUGUAAGUGAACAUUUUAAACCCGUAUAAAUAUCCAUGCUUCUUUGUUUAUUGUUUACUAUAAGGUGACAAUCGGUAAACCUCGGCUUCAAAAUAAUACAAUGUAGUAUCUGCAAUAUUUCCACAUCAUAACAGACAGAGAAGAAAAAUGAUAAAAUCGCGUAUAGAAGAAUAAGUUUAUGAUAUAUACAUGUAUUGGUUCAAAAAUUGGAUAAUCAUUAUUUUUCACCCUUAACUGGUUUCAUAUGACUUUAGUAGUUAUAAAUUGUUCAGUACUUUCUUCUUUGUAAUCAUUAACAACUUGCAUUUAUUUUUCUUUUAAACAGGAACACCACCACGUAAGUUAUUUUUUAAUAUAAUAGUUAUUAUAUGUUGCCAUGAAAAUUCAAAUAAAGAUUCAAACAACAUCAACUUAACCAAAAGUGCUAUAAAAUAAGUGUUUUGACCAAAAUACCAAUAACGUAACUAUGUUAUUGUGCGUUCCAAUUACAAAUGUUUAACACUAUCACUUAUUGCGAAAAGGCAAACGUGUAAUAGUUAAUUUAAAAUUAAACAAUAUUGUAAUGUUCUAAUUUCUAGCCAUUACUAUCAUGUGAAAUUAAGAAGAGCGUUUUGCGAACGAAAUAAUACUCACAUUUGCUUUCAUUGUUGACUUUAAAUGAAAAUUACAAUACAAAGGUAUUUUUGACAAAUAUGCUCCAAGAUGAAAUAACGUGGACGUUUAUGUCAGCUUAUGUAGGCUACUAAACUUUUUUUUAAAUCCUUUCAUAUAAUGAAAUCUACUAUAAAUUGUUUAUAUUAAGAUUUGAGAACUUCAUAUGAUAAAACAUAUCACUGGUUUUCAAUUUCAUAAUAUUUGUGCAGACAAUCAUUAAGACACGAAUUAAUUCGACAUGAUCUGUUCAUGCUAAAAAAGGGUGAAAUAUAAAAACCUUCAAUAUUAAAAUCAAACUAGAGUUUUCAUAACCAAAUGUUGAGAAAAGAUUUAACUUCUUAUUGUUCUUUACAUCUUACAAUAACAAUCACUAAGAUAAUCAAAUACACUUUGUGGUCUUAUUAAAGUUUAAGUUUGAUACACUAGUACAACAUAAAAAUAACGUAUAAUUGUUAUCCUUCAGUAAAAAUAAUGUCCCAUACAGGCAAAAUGAAAAUUGCAGCACAUAUUGGAAUAAAUUAUUAGUUAAAAUUGUGUACGACUUUUGAUGAUAGGAAAUUGAAUAUCAAUGUUAGUCAAAAAUCAAAAUACAACAUUUAACGUUGCAUUCACAAUUUCGGUAUUUGAUUUAUAACUUUACGUUUUAGGAUUGGGAUGUAACAGACCGCCACUCUGUCCUAUUACCGACUACGCUAAUGACAGACCAUGUACCGGAUGUGAACCACAGGAGGAUGAUGGACUAGGAUGCUCAAGAUGUAAAACAUGCAAAAGAUCAUACAAUUAAAACACAUGAAAUCCA
rnacentral:lncRNA from 1 species